rnacentral:lncRNA from 1 species
UGCGUUUUUGGGUCGAUAGCCGAGGUGGUACUAUGUUUUUCUUGAUCCAAUAGGUCGGUGGAAUAUCCCGAGCGAAGGAGUCCUGAAUUGGCUCCAGCAGGGGGGCGGGCGCCCAGGCUGCCACGGCGGGCGCCCUGGGCCUGGCCCAGUUUCGCCUCCGCUUCGGUCUCGUGGCUUCUGGAGUCUUCUAGAUGAUGUAAAAUUACGCGGUGCGUUAAUAUCUCUAUGUAAUCCCGACAUGUGGGCCUUUCUUCCUUAUUUCCUGAUAACCCCCUGCAGAAACAGAUAAACAACAAAACUCGUGGAAUUCUGUCAGAUCAAACCUUAAUUCUAGGUGAUGGUUGCAUAUUGGUCCUUUCUCUUGUUUAUUUGAUAAUUAAAAUUGGUACUUAAGAACCGUCAACAAAUACCCCCAUACUUAGGCUUUUACUCGUCCUCGAGAAAAGGAUGGUUAAGAACAAUAUCUGGGGUAAACAUUUAAAACAUUCUCUUUACAAUUGCAGGGUGUUAAAAAUUCCACUGUGUACCAUAGUCAGGGAAGUAUAUGAUUAAGAGUAAAGAUCCUUUCUUCUCAACCCUGCCACUUGGAGCUUUUGUAUAUUUUUGAAAGAAAAUUAGCAUACCUUUUUAUCCUCAUAGGUUCUCUCAGAUCACUCAUUAUCUUUUAUAUAUAUAUCUCACUGAGGCUGUUUUAUUUUGCAAAAAUUCUCAAGCAUACUUACUUUGGAUUUAUUGCCUGAUCAAAACGGGAUCCGAGGAGGGAAAUGUCAUACUCUUAGAUCAAAGACUUUGGGAAUUAAAAACUUUGUCAACUCUUGCUGGCAUAUUGCUUAUUAGAGGGACCAUGGGCUAUCAUUUUUUUUCUCUUUUCUCUCUUUUUUUUAAGUGGAUACCGAGGUACCCCUAAUUCUACUACCGGACACUUGUCCAUUUUUUCUGCGAGGUUGUCGAGCACUUGCUCCUUUUUAUUUCCUCGAAAUAUCUUCUAUUUUUGCAUAGCCCAUGCCUCUAAUGCAAUAAUACUUCGGAAGAGUGAAUCUUACUGAAAUAGUGUCUUGAUCUUGGGAGCAUGAUAAAUCUCUCAACAAGGGUCUAACUCAUUUUGAACAAACUCAAUACAGAGCAGAUAGCUUUUAUAAUCAUAUUUAAUAUUUCAAUUUUAUCAGGCAUAUAAAACACUGAGGAUGGUAGCUAGGAAUUUUAAAUAUUUUGAAAUAAAUUCUCCAAGCAACAAUGAUAUCAAGAAUAAGAAACUCAUACUCUACCAUCACAUAUUCCAUAUUAACUUAAUUAACACAAAGUUUUAAAAUGAUUUUCAAUAAUUGCAAGUUUUCAGGAAAUAUCACAGAUUGAGAUUAAUCAUGAUUAGAAAUAUUUUAAUCCUUUUAAUUUAUCAUGUCGGAAACAGUAAUCUGCAUAAUCCAGAAUAAAUGUAUGUAUGAAGUAAAGUGUGCAGAGUGUGUACCUGAAUCGUGGAGUGAUGUAGUCGGAGUGUGUUUGGCAUGUUGAGGGAUCUCCCCCAUACUUGUUUUCUGCUUUCUUGCACAAAAGUAAAGUAGAGACACACAAAACAUAAUAAUAACAGUAAUAUUCUUUAUUGAUCUUGAGGCAUUUAUUAUAAAAGACUGAUAGCAAACUG